rnacentral:rRNA from 1 species
AUUGAACGCUGGCGGUAUGCUUAACACAUGCAAGUCGAACGAUGAGAAAGAGCUUGCUCUUACGAUUAGUGGCGGACGGGUGCGUAACGCGCAGGAAUCUACCUAUUAGUGGGGGACAACUUAGGGAAACUUAAGCUAAUACCGCAUACGCCCUACGGGGGACAGAAGGGGAUCGCAAGACCUUUUGCUAAUAGAUGAGCCUGCGUAGGAUUAGCUAGUUGGUGGGGUAAAAGCUCACCAAGGCGACGAUCCUUAACUGGUUUGAGAGAAUGAUCAGUCACACUGGAACUGAGACACGGUCCAGACUCCUACGGGAGGCAGCAGUGGGGAAUAUUGGACAAUGGGCGAAAGCCUGAUCCAGCAAUACCGCGUGUGUGAAGAAGGCCAUAGGGUUGUAAAGCACUUUCAAUUGGAAGGAAAACCUCGAAGCUAAUACCUUCGAGUUUGACAUUACCUUUAGAAGAAGCACCGGCUAACUCCGUGCCAGCCGCCGCAGUAACAC